CAGCAGCGCGGUAAUACAGAGGGUGCGAGCGUUAAUCGGAAUUACUGGGCGUAAAGCGCGCGUAGGUGGUUUGUUAAGUUGGAUGUGAAAUCACCGGGCUCAACCUGGGAACUGCAUCCAAAACUGGAAAGCUAGAGUAUGGUAGAGGGUGGUGGAAUUUCCUGUGUAGCGGUGAAAUGCGUAGAUAUAGGAAGGAACACCAGUGGCGAAGGCGACCACCUGGACUGAUACUGACACUGAGGUGCGAAAGCGUGGGGAGCAAACAGGAUUAGAUACCCCAGUAGUCCCUGUCUCUUAUACC
rnacentral:rRNA from 1 species